GCCGUUAUAGUUUAAUGGUAGAAUAUGUCAUUGGUAUUGACAAGAACUAAGUUCGAUUCUUAGUAACGGCACAG
rnacentral:tRNA from 1 species